rnacentral:misc_RNA from 1 species
AUGAGUGAAGAGACCCUCGCGGUCUCGACCUCCAACCCUCUUGUUUUACAAACCAUGUUGCCUCGGGGGCGACCCGGCCUUUACUGGCAAUGGGUACCCCCGGUGGACCACUAAACUCUGCGUACAUCUUGCGUCUGAGUAUUAUGAUUUAAUUAAUCA